UACGUAGGGAGCAAGCGUUGUUCGGAUUUACUGGGCGUAAAGGGCGCGUAGGCGGCCUGCUAAGUCGAACGUGAAAUCCCUGGGCUCAACCCAGGAACUGCGUCCGAUACUGGUUGGCUUGAAUCCGGGAGAGGGAUGUGGAAUUCCAGGUGUAGCGGUGAAAUGCGUAGAUAUCUGGAGGAACACCGGUGGCGAAGGCGACAUCCUGGACCGGUAUUGACGCUGAGGCGCGAAAGCCAGGGGAGCAAACGGG
rnacentral:rRNA from 1 species